rnacentral:rRNA from 1 species
AGUGAACGCUGGCGGUAGGCCUAACACAUGCAAGUCGAACGGCAGCACAGGAGAGCUUGCUCUCUGGGUGGCGAGUGGCGGACGGGUGAGGAAUACAUCGGAAUCUACUCUGUCGUGGGGGAUAACGUAGGGAAACUUACGCUAAUACCGCAUACGACCUACGGGUGAAAGCAGGGGACCUUCGGGCCUUGCGCGAUUGAAUGAGCCGAUGUCGGAUUAGCUAGUUGGCGGGGUAAAGGCCCACCAAGGCGACGAUCCGUAGCUGGUCUGAGAGGAUGAUCAGCAACACUGGGACUGAGACACGGUCCAGACUCCUACGGGAGGCAGCAGUGGGGAAUACUGGACAAUGGGCGCAAGCCUGAUCCAGCCAUACCGCGUGGGUGAAGAAGGCCUUCGGGUUGUAAAGCCCUUUUGUUGGGAAAGAAAUCCGGCUGGCUAAUACCCGGUUGGGAUGACGGUACCCAAAGAAUAAGCACCGGCUAACUUCGUGCCAGCAGCCGCCGUAA